rnacentral:misc_RNA from 1 species
AAGUCGUAACAAGGUUUCCGUAGGUGAACCUGCGGAAGGAUCAUUAAAAAAUGAGGUAUUUUAUACUUCUUGUAUUUAAAAUCCAACUCUAAAAAUAUAAAUUUUUUUUAAAAAAAAAAAAAACUUUCAACAAUGGAUCUCUUGGCUCUC